CAGGAGCUGGCAGCCGCUGCUGACGUGCGUCAUGACUUUCUGUUUGAGCUGCGCCACCUGCUCCCGCAGCAGGGAGGCCGUGCUCGACAGGCCCGCGUUGUCCGUUUUCAGCACCUUGACUUUGUCCUCCAGGCGCGCGAUGCGCUCCAGUUUGCGCCUGCGGCACUUGGACGCGGCGAGCCGGUUCCUCAGCCGCUUGCGCUCCGCCUUGAUCCGCUCCUGGUUCUCCAUGUCGAUGGGAGACAUAGGGGGGGAGCCGUUGUCGCUGCUUUGCAUGUCGGGGACCGUCUGGGGCUCCUCCUUCAGGCCCCCGUAGCGCUGCGAGUGCACGGGGGCCCCAGACAGGGAGUGCUGGAAGUGGUGGGAGCCGUGCGCAACGGCCUGGGGGUGCUGGUGGAACUGGUGGUGGUGGUGGUGGUGCUGCAGGUAGCUGAUGGUGGUGGGGGGGUAGCUGGCCGCGGCGCUCAGGCCGCUGUUCGUGGUGCAGCUGCUCAAGUUGGUGUACUCCAGAGCUUCGGGCUGCAUGGACGCGCCGAACACGGAGGACGGAGCCGGGCAGCCCACCCCGCCGGAACCGAUGGAGACGUUUGGCGGAGCCAUCUGGUUCAUCUUGUGCAGGUCGUCCAGAGCUUUGACGAAGCCCUCCGCGAAGCCCUCCUGCUCCUCGGUGAUGCCGCGGUUGUACAGGUCUGUUUCCAUGAGUCUCCACCUGGAACAAUCCACUCCAAGAGCUGCCGCUGCCAAGUCUCACUUCCUGCCACACUCCCCUCCAGCCACGCCACGACUUUCGCCUCGUUUCAUAUCCAGCCACGAAGAAAACUCCAACUACGGCAAGACUGCUGCCAUUACUGCCUAUCAGCCAAAUCCUGAACUCUAAAGACUCUAUUAAUUUUUCCAUUUCCAAAAAAAUAAAACCUUU
rnacentral:lncRNA from 1 species